GGAGAGUUUCCGGCAUCCUCAGGUGGGCAGGUGAGUGAGAGGUGAAGUCCUGGGUGAGGCCCUACUGAGAGAUCCCAAAUCGAUCUGAGGAUCCAGCAGCCCAUUCCGCAGGGGGCUCCCUUUGCUCUGCUUCCAGAAAAUUAGGGACAGUGUGGGAGUCAAAGGAUGGCUGUUGCAGUUUGGGGUGUUGGGCAAGUCUCAUGGGAAAUGACUGCUUAAAACAGGGGCAUGUUUUGAGUCCCAGGCCCUUGCUUUCUACGGGGUGUUUGUGGGGGCAGGGGCUUCUGUCUAUCAUCUGUGAGGACCACACACUGCCUCCAUUCCAAUUGGCAGUGGGUGGGGCCCUCACCCAGCAAGAACCAGAAGGAGGAGCAGAGACAGCUUCUGUUGAGGCUGAGAGGGACGGCCCACCCAACAGAAGCCACAACAGGUCCCCAAAGAAUUUCUGCAGGCUGGGACUCCUGAGUGAAAUGAAGAAGUGGGAUUCAACAGAGAGAAAUGUGAAGUCUGCCAGCUAGCCCUGAGAAGCAGGCAUGACAAGAGAGGAUGCCCGUGUUACAGAUGAGAAAAACAGAGGCCCUGGGAGGAAGCUUGCCUAAUGCCACUCAGGAGGUAGAGGCAAAGCUGGGAAAGGCCCUGGGUCCCCAGACUGCCCCUCUGGAACUCCACAUGCAGCCACCUGGCUGUCCUGCCCGGGAUGCCAUCCGCAGGCUAGGCUGGCGCUCAUGCCCAUGCCCUGCUGUCCACUGACACCCCGCAGAGCUUAACACCCCGCUGAGCCUGCCCUGCAGCCCUUGCCAAGUCUGUCCGAGUGGCCUCAGUCAUUGGCAAGUCACAUUGCUGACAUCGCAACUGCAUAAAAUUAAUUUAUUUAGUUAAGGGAGGUGUUAAUUAAGAGUUCUCGUUUAUUGUCUUUGCAGACAGCUCUCGGGGGCUUCUGAGUUGUCAUUGCUGGUGACAGCAAAAGCUAAUGGUAUCACAAG
rnacentral:lncRNA from 1 species